rnacentral:rRNA from 1 species
GACGAACGCUGGCGGCGUGCCUAAUACAUGCAAGUAGAACGCUGAAGAGAGGAGCUUGCUCUUCUUGGAUGAGUUGCGAACGGGUGAGUAACGCGUAGGUAACCUGCCUUGUAGCGGGGGAUAACUAUUGGAAACGAUAGCUAAUACCGCAUAACAAUGGGUGACACAUGUCAUUUAUUUGAAAGGGGCAAUUGCUCCACUACAAGAUGGACCUGCGUUGUAUUAGCUAGUAGGUGAGGUAACGGCUCACCUAGGCGACGAUACAUAGCCGACCUGAGAGGGUGAUCGGCCACACUGGGACUGAGACACGGCCCAGACUCCUACGGGAGGCAGCAGUAGGGAAUCUUCGGCAAUGGGGGCAACCCUGACCGAGCAACGCCGCGUGAGUGAAGAAGGUUUUCGGAUCGUAAAGCUCUGUUGUAAGUCAAGAACGAGUGUGAGAGUGGAAAGUUCACACUGUGACGGUAGCUUACCA